UGCUAGAAGUGGGAACAUCCAACGCAUGCUUAAUCGCGAGCCUAAUUCAAUAAAGCCCGUCGCACACGAGACGAAUCUGCAACCCGGCCGAGGCUGGAACUAAGAAAGUGUUUGGACACCUAAACUGAAUCAUACACCUGUGGUGGUAUAUUUGCCGGCAUAUUGUUUUCCAUCACUAGUGGAAUACGACUGGAUGAAACUGAUGGGUUGGCUGUGUAUUUGGGCACUUCCUGUCCUGCUUGGAACCUUUGCCUCUCUCUGCUGGCUGGCUGAAGGGAGCAGGAGCAUGGACACAGCAAACACAGCAGAGAGCACCUCCCAGGGACCACAGGCAAGGAAGAGUGGAGCAGCUGCCGGAGUUGCCGAUCCAU